rnacentral:rRNA from 1 species
AGAGACAGCAGUAGCCACGGGAAUACGUAGGUGGCGAGCGUUGUCCGGAAUUAUUGGGCGUAAAGGGAGCGCAGGCGGACAUAUAAGUCCAUCUUAAAAGUGCGGGGCUCAACCCCGUGAGGGGAUGGAAACUGUAUGCCUUGAGUGCAGGAGAGGAAAGCGGAAUUCCCAGUGUAGCGGUGAAAUGCGUAGAUAUUGGGAGGAACACCAGUGGCGAAGGCGGCUUUCUGGACUGUAACUGACGCUGAGGCUCGAAAGCCAGGGGAGCGAACGGGAUUAGAUACCCCUGUAGUCCCUGUCUCUUAUACA